AACGAACGCUGGCGGCAGGCUUAACACAUGCAAGUCGAACGGGUGUAGCAAUACAUCAGUGGCAGACGGGUGAGUAACACGUGGGAACCUUCCUAGGGGUACGGAACAACUCAGGGAAACUUGAGCUAAUACCGUAUACGUCCGUGAGGAGAAAGAUUUAUCGCCCUUAGACGGGCCCGCGUCGGAGUAGGUAGUUGGUGGGGUAACGGCCUACCAAGCCGACGAGCCGUAGCUGAUCUUAGAGGAUGAUCAGCCACACUGGGACUGAGACACGGCCCAGACUCCUACGGGAGGCAGCGGUGGGGAAUCUUGGACAAUGGGCGCAAGCCUGAUCCAGCCAUGCCGCGUGAGUGAAGGAGGCCUUAGGGUUGUAAAGCUCUUUUGGCAGGGACGAUAAUGACGGUACCUGCAGAAUAAGCCCCGGCAAACUUCGUGCCAGCAGCCGCGGUAACAC
rnacentral:rRNA from 1 species